AACGAACGCUGGCGGCGUGCUUAACACAUGCAAGUCGAACGCGAAAGUUUUCUUCGGAAAGCGAGUAGAGUGGCGCACGGGUGAGUAACGCGUAAGUAAUCUACCCUGGUAUCUGGGAUAACUCACCGAAAGGUGUGCUAAUACCGGAUACGCUGAGUAAUCAGGAAAGGUGGCCUCUUCAUGAAAGCUACUGUACCAGGAGGAGCUUGCGUACCAUUAGCUAGUUGGUAGGGUAAUGGCCUACCAAGGCAACGAUGGUUAGCGGGUCUGAGAGGAUGAUCCGCCACACUGGAACUGAAACACGGACCAGACUCCUACGGGAGGCAGCAGUGAGGAAUAUUGCGCAAUGGGGGAAACCCUGACGCAGCGACGCCGCGUGGAUGAUGAAGGCCUUCGGGUCGUAAAA
rnacentral:rRNA from 1 species